UAACCAGGGAAUGUGAAAGAAGGGGACACAUUUUUUUUUUAUUAAUUUGUUCUUCUAGCACCAUUUUGGGGUUCUUGCCUUGAAGGGUAUUAAAUCUCAUCCUUGCAGAAGUGGUUGAGUACCUGGAAUCAGGUAUGAUCUUGAAGAACAAAGUGAUGGAAGCUGUUGAAGGAUCUGCUUCAUUGAAGGCAUCAAGACCAAAAAAAAUUUGAGAAGAGCCUAUAUCAAACAUGGAGAAACUUCUAGUGACCUACAUUGAUGACCAAGCACAGAAGCAUGUCCUUAUAACCCCCAUAGCAAUCAUGGCCAAAGCAAAAGGCUGGACUUGACUACAAUAUUGAAUUUACUGCUAACUCUGGGUGGUUUAAAUGAUCAAAGAAUUGUUAUUCAUUACAUCAUGUGAAAGUGAUUGGCUCCCGCCUUGGAUUAUCUGCUGUGUGUUCAUUGAGCAAAACCCUGAGAAUAUAGCAGAAUAUAAAGCAUGGGAAGCUUAAAUUUUAAUAAGGAAGACAUAAAUAUAUUAAAAAGUUAAAUAAGAGAAUUUAAGAUUGCAUGACAACUUCAAUUUGAAAUAACCAUUUUACACAUUUUUAGGAGUACUGUACUUAGAAAUGAC